rnacentral:rRNA from 1 species
GAUGAACGCUGGCGGCGUGCCUAAUACAUGCAAGUCGAGCGAACGGACGAGAAGCUUGCUUCUCUGAUGUUAGCGGCGGACGGGUGAGUAACACGUGGAUAACCUACCUAUAAGACUGGGAUAACUUCGGGAAACCGGAGCUAAUACCGGAUAAUAUUUUGAACCGCAUGGUUCAAAAGUGAAAGACGGUCUUGCUGUCACUUAUAGAUGGAUCCGCGCUGCAUUAGCUAGUUGGUAAGGUAACGGCUUACCAAGGCAACGAUGCAUAGCCGACCUGAGAGGGUGAUCGGCCACACUGGAACUGGACCACGGACCAGACUCCUACGGGAGGCAGCAGUAGGGAAUCUUCCGCAAUGGGCGAAAGCCUGACGGAGCAACGCCGCGUGAGUGAUGAAGGUCUUCGGAUCGUAAAACUCUGUUAUUAGGGAAGAACAUAUGUGUAAGUAACUGUGCACAUCUUGACGGUACCUAAUCAGAAAGCCACGGCUAACUACGUG